CCGUCCACUCCUCAUUGACAUCUACAGGAGGAGGAAGGAGGCUGUGGAGACCCCAUUCUCCUCUGCCUGGGCAGCUGAAUACAGAAACUUCUCUGCUCCACCCCAAGUUCCCCACAGCUGUGGUCUGGGAAGCAGGAUCUCCAAGUUUCCAGUGUGGGCACCUGGAACUUUUGCAGGAUCUGUUUUCAAUGAAACCUGUUAGAAGGAAACCAUCAGAGUCUCCAACUUGGAGAACAGAGUCACAAAGGAAUACUAUUCUGCUUGUCAGAGAACUGAGCAAGCGGCCCAACCCUAAGCCUUUGGGCCAAGAGGUACAGAUACCACAAGACAUUGCUGGCAUGCCCCAUGGGCUACCUUAGCUAUCUAAAAGG
rnacentral:lncRNA from 1 species